AUGGUGGUGCAGCAGCCGCUGCCGGAGCAGAGGUACGCGGCGCAGACCUUGCCGGAGCCGCCGCAGAUGGGGCCGGAGCCGCCGCGGGACGAGACGCCGAGCUCGAGCUCGGAAGCGUCAGCGCCACCGACUCCUGAAGACCCGAGGCUGGAGGAGAUCCGAUCGGAGCUGCUUGAUUCCCCGACGAUGCUGGAGCAGCUGGUGUUUUCUGGCCCGGAGUCCUCCGCAUUCGUGGUCCGCCUGCUCGUCGAGGAGCACGAGCAAGGGCACAUACGCCAGAGCGUCCUCGACAGGUUCGUGCACCGCGCGCACGGGAUCAUGGGGAACAGGCAGGGGCAUGCGGUAUUCCAAGCGCUGCUGCGCAUCUGCCAGUGGCGGCCCGAGGAGCUCAGCCGCAUCGUGGACGCCGCCGUGGAGCCCAACCUCGUCUCCAGGACCAACGACGGGGUAACUUCUCUGAGGAUGCUCAUAGAGUAUGUGGCCCCGCACCACGACCUGUCCGCGCGGCUCAUCGGCAGCUUGGUGCAUGAGCGCGUGAUGGACGAGCUCCAGGGCUACCAUCUGGUUGAGCAGUGCUUUAAGAGCAUGCAUCACGCGGAGACCAGGGCCCUCAUCCUGCACGCAUUGGACACCAUCGACAGCAAGCUGCAGUGGCGAUACGGCUCCAUGUGCCUGUGUACAUGCGUCCGAUUCUCGACAGGCGAAGAGCUCGGGCGUUUCCAGGAUCGGGCCUUGGGCCGCGCCGUGAACUUGGCCAUGGGUCGGCACAGCAACUACUUCGUGCAGCGCGUGCUCGACCGCGGCAGCAAUCAGUUCAGGCAGGACCUGGUCCACGAGCUAAUGGGGGACGCCGCUGGCCUGUCUCGCCACCCGUGUGGGAACUACGUCGUGCAGCACUGCUUCCUGAACCAGGAGUCCCGCGAGCCACAGUCCGAUCUGCUGCCCAUCGUGCUCAGGGCUUUUGCUGACCUGCCCCAAGAACACCUCGAGGAUCUGGUGCAGCACGCACCUGGCAAGUUGGUCCUCCACAGGCUGCUAGAGACAGGCAUGACUGUAACUCUCUUCCUGGACUUGACACGGGACCUGCCGCAGAGGAUCAACUCGUUGGACGUGCAGGUCUUGGGACGCCCUCGCUCGGAGAUGGUGAUGGUGCUCGUCAUGAAGAUCCUUUCCAUGGUCUAG
rnacentral:rRNA from 1 species